AUGAACGCUGGCGGCGUGCCUAAUACAUGCAAGUCGAGCGAACAGACGAGGAGCUUGCUCCUCUGACGUUAGCGGCGGACGGGUGAGUAACACGUGGAUAACCUACCUAUAAGACUGGGAUAACUUCGGGAAACCGGAGCUAAUACCGGAUAAUAUAUUGAACCGCAUGGUUCAAUAGCGAAAGACGGUUUUGCUGUCACUUAUAGAUGGAUCCGCGCCGCAUUAGCUAGUUGGUAAGGUAACGGCUUACCAAGGCAACGAUGCGUAGCCGACCUGAGAGGGUGAUCGGCCACACUGGAACUGAGACACGGUCCAGACUCCUACGGGAGGCAGCAGUAGGGAAUCUUCCGCAAUGGGCGAAAGCCUGACGGAGCAACGCCGCGUGAGUGAUGAAGGUCUUCGGAUCGUAAAACUCUGUUAUUAGGGAAGAACAAAUGUGUAAGUAACUAUGCACGUCUUGACGGUACCUAAUCAGAAGGCCACGGCUAACUACGUG
rnacentral:rRNA from 1 species